rnacentral:rRNA from 1 species
UACGUAGGGGGCAAGCGUUGUUCGGAAUUACUGGGCGUAAAGGGCUCGUAGGUGGCCAACUAAGUCAGACGUGAAAUCCCUCGGCUUAACCGGGGAACUGCGUCUGAUACUGGAUGGCUUGAGUUCGGGAGAGGGAUGCGGAAUUCCAGGUGUAGCGGUGAAAUGCGUAGAUAUCUGGAGGAACACCGGUGGCGAAGGCGGCAUCCUGGACCGACACUGACACUGAGGAGCGAAAGCCAGGGGAGCGAACGGG